rnacentral:rRNA from 1 species
GACGAAGCGACGCCGCGUGGGUGAGGAAGGCCUUCGGGUUGUAAAGCCCUGUCAGGAGUUAAGAAAUGUAGACUCGCUAAUAUCGGGUCUAUUUGACAAAGGCUCCAAAGGAAGCCACGGCUAACUCUGUGCCAGCAGCCGCGGUAAUACAGAGGUGGCAAGCGUUGUUCGGAAUUAUUGGGCGUAAAGAGCACGUAGGUGGAUUUGUAAGUCAGACGUGAAAGCCUUCUGUUCAACGGAAGAAUUGCAUCUGAAACUACAAACCUUGAGUGUAGGAGGGGAGAAUGGAACUUCUGGUGGAGCGGUGAAAUGCGUAGAUAUCAGAAGGAACGCCGGCGGCGAAAGCGAUUCUCUGGCCUAUUACUGACACUCAGUGUGCGAAAGCUAGGGGAGCAAACGGGAUUAGAUACCCCGGUAGUCCUAGCCGUAAACGAUGGGCACUAAGUAGAGGG